CACCCGCAUGCUGUAUCGUUUGAGUCGAGGUAACGCGUUUGUGCGGUAUCUGGACAUUGAUGAGCCGAUCAUCGACCCAGAGUCUGGUCAGCCAGUAAGAAAAUCGGUCUUCUACAUCGUGUCCAUUGGGCGUGGCCUUUCGAAUAAACUUGCGAAGCUGUGCAAUUAUUUCCAAGCCUCCAUUUAUCGAGUCCCCGAGAGGAACACGGACGCCUGC
rnacentral:ribozyme from 1 species